CGGAGCGUAGCGCAGUCCGGUUAGCGUGCAUGGUUCGGGACCAUGAGGUCGGAGGUUCAAAUCCUCUCGCUCCGA
rnacentral:tRNA from 1 species